UUUCCGUAGGUGAACCUGCGGAAGGAUCAUUCUUGUAUAACCGAGGAGCGAGGUUUGUUGCUGACCUGUAAGGUUGUGCACGCCUGAGUGCCUUCACACCUAUCUAUCUCACCCCUAUCUCCACCCCCGCGCGGGUCCUCCUUUCGUUUUCUCGGAGGGGGGCUUACGUUUUCACUCAAACUUUGAACUUACUGUAGCAUGUCUUUUUUGUUUUUGCGAUCACGCAAACAAUACAACUUUCAACAACGGAUCUCUUGGCUCUCGUCUCGAUGAAGAACC
rnacentral:misc_RNA from 1 species